AAAAGAAACCAACAGGGAUUGCCUCAGUAACGGCGAGUGAAGCGGCAACAGCCCAGAUUUGAAAUCUGGCCUUCGGGCCCGACUUGUAAUCUGCAGAUGGACUUUCCGGCGAGGCGUGCGUCCAAGUGCCCUGGAAUGGGCCGCCGCAGAGGGUGAGAGCCCCGUACUGGCGCGCGCCGAGCCUCCGUGAAACCCAUUCGACGAGUCGAGUAGUUUGGAAAUGCUGCUCUAAUUGUGGGGUAAAUCUCCCAUAAGGCUAAAUAUCGGCCGGAGACCGAUAGCGCACAAGUAGCGUGAGCGAAAGAUGAAAAGAGCCUUGGAUAAGGGCGUCAAACAGUAUGUGAAAUUGUUGUGGGGGAAGCGCUCGUCGCCAGACGUGGCGGCGGCUGGUUACCCGGCGUCCUCGCCGGCGCACUCUGCCCGCCGCCAGGCCAGCACCGGCUCGGGCCGGGGCUCAAUGCACGCGGGAACGUGGCUCCCUUCGGGGAGUGUUAUAGCCCACGCGCGACGCCCUGGGCCGGGCCGAGGACCGCGCAUUUGCUCGGAUGCUGGCUUAAUGGCGCCUAGCGACCCGUCUUGAAACACGGACCAAGGAGUUGACCUGGCGCGCGAGUGUUCGGGUGUCAAGCCCCUACGCGUAGUGAAAGCGAACGCAGGUGGGAGCCUCACGGCGCACCAUCGACCGAUCCUGAAGCUCGCAGAUGGAUUUGAGUAGGAGCGCGCCGGGUCUGACCCGAAAGAAGGUGAACUAUGCAUGAAUAGGGUGAAGCCAGAGGAAACUCUGGUGGAGGCUCGCAGCGGUUCUGACGUGCAAAUCGAUCGUCAAAUUUGUGCAUGGGGGCGAAAGACCAAUCGAACC
rnacentral:rRNA from 1 species